GUCCUCUCCGCAAUGCCCACCUUCGCCCUCAUUGUGUUGCGGGCGCCCAAAAAGUUUUACAAGGAAGUGGACAAGGCAAGACGAAGGUUCCUCUGGGCGCAAGACGAGGUGGCCACCGGUGGAAAGUGCAAGGUGCGAUGGCCGGCGGUGACCGCGCCAGCGCACGCAGGAGGCCUGGGCAUCCACGAUCUGGAGAAGUUUGCCCGAGCAUUGCGCCUGCGAUGGCUAUGGCUUGCAUGGACGCAGCCCUCACGCCCCUGGGUUGGCACCGACUCCCCAUGCGACGACGCCGAUCGCGCCCUG
rnacentral:rRNA from 1 species